GGGGAUCUGCCCGAUAGAGGGGGAUAACCACUGGAAACGGUGGCUAAUACCGCAUAACGUCGCAAGACCAAAGAGGGGGACCUUCGGGCCUCUCACUAUUGGAUGAACCCAGAUGGGAUUAGCUAGUAGGCGGGGUAAUGGCCCACCUAGGCGACGAUCCCUAGCUGGUCUGAGAGGAUGACCAGCCACACUGGAACUGAGACACGGUCCAGACUCCUACGGGAGGCAGCAGUGGGGAAUAUUGC
rnacentral:rRNA from 1 species